GGCGGCGUGCCUAAUACAUGCAAGUCGAACGAACUCUGGUAUUGAUUGGUGCUUGCAUCAUGAUUUACAUUUGAGUGAGUGGCGAACUGGUGAGUAACACGUGGGAAACCUGCCCAGAAGCGGGGGAUAACACCUGGAAACAGAUGCUAAUACCGCAUAACAACUUGGACCGCAUGGUCCGAGUUUGAAAGAUGGCUUCGGCUAUCACUUUUGGAUGGUCCCGCGGCGUAUUAGCUAGAUGGUGGGGUAACGGCUCACCAUGGCAAUGAUACGUAGCCGACCUGAGAGGGUAAUCGGCCACAUUGGGACUGAGACACGGCCCAAACUCCUACGGGAGGCAGCAGUAGGGAAUCUUCCACAAUGGACGAAAGUCUGAUGGAGCAACGCCGCGUGAGUGAAGAAGGGUUUCGGCUCGUAAAACUCUGUUGUUAAAGAAGAACAUAUCUGAGAGUAACUGUUCAGGUAUUGACGGUAUUUAACCAGAAAGCCACGGCUAACUACGUGCCAGCAGCCGCGGUAAUACGUAGGUGGCAAGCGUUGUCCGGAUUUAUUGGGCGUAAAGCGAGCGCAGGCGGUUUUUUAAGUCUGAUGUGAAAGCCUUCGGCUCAACCGAAGAAGUGCAUCGGAAACUGGGAAACUUGAGUGCAGAAGAGGACAGUGGAACUCCAUGUGUAGCGGUGAAAUGCGUAGAUAUAUGGAAGAACACCAGUGGCGAAGGCGGCUGUCUGGUCUGUAACUGACGCUGAGGCUCGAAAGUAUGGGUAGCAAACAGGAUUAGAUACCCUGGUAGUCCAUACCGUAAACGAUGAAUGCUAAGUGUUGGAGGGUUUCCGCCCUUCAGUGCUGCAGCUAACGCAUUAAGCAUUCCGCCUGGGGAGUACGGCCGCAAGGCUGAAACUCAAAGGAAUUGACGGGGGCCCGCACAAGCGGUGGAGCAUGUGGUUUAAUUCGAAGCUACGCGAAGAACCUUACCAGGUCUUGACAUACUAUGCAAAUCUAAGAGAUUAGACGUUCCCUUCGGGGACAUGGAUACAGGUGGUGCAUGGUUGUCGUCAGCUCGUGUCGUGAGAUGUUGGGUUAAGUCCCGCAACGAGCGCAACCCUUAUUAUCAGUUGCCAGCAUUAAGUUGGGCACUCUGGUGAGACUGCCGGUGACAAACCGGAGGAAGGUGGGGAUGACGUCAAAUCAUCAUGCCCCUUAUGACCUGGGCUACACACGUGCUACAAUGGAUGGUACAACGAGUUGCGAACUCGCGAGAGUAAGCUAAUCUCUUAAAGCCAUUCUCAGUUCGGAUUGUAGGCUGCAACUCGCCUACAUGAAGUCGGAAUCGCUAGUAAUCGCGGAUCAGCAUGCCGCGGUGAAUACGUUCCCGGGCCUUGUACACACCGCCCGUCACACCAUGAGAGUUUGUAACACCCAAAGUCGGUGGGGUAACCUUUUAGGAACCAGCCGCCUAAGGUGGGACAGAUGAU
rnacentral:rRNA from 2 species